CCUACGGGAGGCAGCAGUGGGGAAUUUUGCGCAAUGGGCGAAAGCCUGACGCAGCAACGCCGCGUGAGUGAUGAAGGCCUUCGGGUCGUAAAGCUCUGUCAGAGGGGAAGAACCACCACAAGGAUAAUACCCUUGUGGUCUGACGGUACCCUCAGAGGAAGCACCGGCUAACUCCGUGCCAGCAGCCGCGGUAAU
rnacentral:rRNA from 1 species